rnacentral:rRNA from 1 species
CCUACGGGCGGCAGCAGUGGGGGAUAUUGGACAAUGGGGGGAACCCUGAUCCAGCGACGCCGCGUGAGUGAAGAAGUAUUUCGGUAUGUAAAGCUCUGUCAGCAGGGAAGAAAGAAAUGACGGUACCUGACCAAGAAGCCCCGGCGAACUACGUGACAGCAGCCGCGGUAAUACGUAGGGGGCAAGAGUUAUCCGGAAUUACUGGGUGUAAAGGGAGCGUAGACGGUUAAGUAAGUCUGGAGUGAAAGGCCGGGGCCCAACCCCGGGACUGCUCUGGAAACUAUUGACCUUGAGUGCAGGGGAGGUAAGCGGAAUUCCUAGUGUAGCGGUGAAAUGCGUAGAUAUUAGGAGGAACACCAGUGGCGAAGGCGGCUUACUGGACUGUAACUGACGUUGAGGCUCGAAAGCGUGGGGAGCAAACAGGAUUAGAUACCCUAGUAGUC